AUUGAACGCUGGCGGCAGGCCUAACACAUGCAAGUCGAGCGGUAACGCGGGGCAACCUGGCGACGAGUGGCGAACGGGUGAGUAAUGCAUCGGAACGUGCCCAGUAGUGGGGGAUAGCCCGGCGAAAGCCGGAUUAAUACCGCAUACGACCUACGGGUGAAAGCGGGGGACUCGCAAGAGCCUCGCGCUAUUGGAGCGGCCGAUGUCAGAUUAGGUAGUUGGUGGGGUAAAAGCCUACCAAGCCGACGAUCUGUAGCUGGUCUGAGAGGACGACCAGCCACACUGGGACUGAGACACGGCCCAGACUCCUACGGGAGGCAGCAGUGGGGAAUCUUGGACAAUGGGCGCAAGCCUGAUCCAGCCAUGCCGCGUGAGUGAAGAAGGUCUUCGGAUUGUAAAGCUCUUUUGCCAGGGACGAUAAUGACGGUACCUGGAGAAUAAGCCCCGGCAAACUUCGUGCCAGCAGCCGCGGUAAU
rnacentral:rRNA from 1 species